rnacentral:rRNA from 1 species
CCUACGGUCGGCAGCAGUGAGGAAUAUUGGUCAAUGGUCGGGAGACUGAACCAGCCAAGCCGCGUGAGGGAUGAAGGUACAGAGUAUCGUAAACCUCUUUUGUCAGGGAACAAAGGCGGGGCCGCGUCCCCGGAUGAGUGUACCUGAAGAAAAAGCAUCGGCUAACUCCGUGCCAGCAGCCGCGGUAAUACGGAAGGUCCGGGCGUUAUCCGGAUUUAUUGGGUUUAAAGGGAGCGUAGGCCGGUCUUUAAGCGUGCCGUGAAAUUUUGUGGCUCAACCAUGAGAGUGCGGCGCGAACUGGAGACCUUGAGUGCGCGGAAGGCAGGCGGAAUUCGUGGUGUAGCGGUGAAAUGCUUAGAUAUCACGAAGAACCCCGAUUGCGAAGGCAGCCUGCCGCAGCGUUACUGACGCUGAAGCUCGAAAGCGCGGGUAUCGAACAGGAUUAGAUACCCCGGUAGUC